rnacentral:lncRNA from 1 species
GCUUUCUGCCAUCUUCCCCUUUCACCUCCUUUCCCCCCUUUCUGCUCCUCCCUCUCUCUCUCAUUCCCUAGUCUUUUGCACCCUUUCUCUCUGCCUGCUAGUGGAGUCACCAUGACAACGGCCUCCAUGACAAUUACAGCCCAGGCAGCAGUGCCUCUUCCCAUGAGGCACUCCAAUACUCACUUGGAAUUUGCUCCCUGAUUUCAUGGCCCAGGCAGUGAAUUUGCCUCACUCCCCAAGUUUCCACAAGGCCACAGGGAAUAGACUUGGUAGCCAACCACAGCCCCGAAGAUGGGAGAAAGCAAAGAAGGAAGAAUGAAGCAUGGGAGAGAAUGAAAGAGGAGAGGGGGAACUGAAGCUCUCAUCUUCCUCUUCUCUGAUGGAACACAAAGGACUCCAGCAAGCUAUACAGGAAGCAUGGAAGCAUAGCAGCUGCUUCUUCUGGGAAGGCCUCAGGAAGCUUUCAAUCACGACAGAAGGCAAAGGUGGAGCCAACACUUCACAUGUCCAGAGCAGGAGGAAGACAGAGAGCCGGGAGGUGCCAUUUUAAACAACCAGAUCUCAGAAGAACUUACUGUCACCACAAAAUCACCAAGGGGGAUGGUGUUAAACCAUGAGAAAACCACCUACACGGCCCAAUCACCUCCAACCAGCACUGGGGAUGACAAUUUAACAGGAGAUUUGGGCAGGGACACAGACCCAAACCAUAUCAGUGUAUGUACAUUUUCGUUUAUUUACUUAAAAAAAAACCUAUUAGAAUCAUUCACUGUCACUGUACCUGGGAGAAAUACCAAAACAACUUUACUAAAACUUACUAAGAUACUAUUAUUGUGCCCAUUAAUUGUUUUCCAGGGAGAUGCACAUUUUUUAGCACAAAAUGCCCAGAUAGAAUUGGUAAAACUGAAAAUAUUAAUUUUAAUACGUCUUUAACAAUGUAAUGUUUUACCAAAAACUUCUCU